UUAUUCAGCAGCAAAAAAACUGUAAUGAAUAUGUAAUGAUGGUAUAAUUAAUGUAGUGUAAUUGGUUGAGUUGGUAAGGAGAAAGGAGGGUCCAUUUUUGGUAUAUGUUAGUUUUGUGGGAAAUGAUGAAGGAUUGGAAAGUUAGAAAGUAAAGUAGCACAUGUGUUGUCUAUGGGGAGUGUGGCAGUGAGAGUAAGCAAGUGUUGGGGACAUGUAGGGCAGGAUUCAACUGCAAAAGAGAGUGUCUCAUUACAAAGAAAACCACAUUUCCUUCAUUGAAACCUUCAGGAGGACAAUUCCGUAGGUCAAAGGGGAGUGUUGACAAUGAAGAGGUUUUAAUGGAUUAGGAGAUGCAAUGAAACAAUGGAAAAUGAGGCAGGGAAGAAAAGGAAGGAUGUGAUGAAAGAUCAAAGGAAAAAGAAAAAAGAUUGGAAGCUUUGUUCCAAAAAUCCAGACAAAUGAGUGACCCAGAAUAGCAAAGAGAAGAGCCAGGCGCAAGAGGUGGCGAUGAGAGGUUUUUGCCAGGCGCCAGUUUUCGCUGAUGUGUCAAGUUGGCCCUUUUUCUUCUGUUUUCGUGAAGGGAAACUCGUCUUGGACGUUUUGGAGCUCGAGUGAUGCGUUUUGGAGCACUUGGAGGUUUUCUAGGGCUAGUGGGAACUACCCUUUCUUCCUCUUUAUAUUUCUUCCCUCUUCCACUUCCAUUUUUAUAAGCUUGGGCUCUCCAUGACAAUGGAGAGCUAAACCCAUUUUUGUUGGAGUUAGAUGUAGCCACUGAACUUUCAUGUA